AAAUAUUGUAGGCAGUGAGUCACCAAAGAUGAAGUCACUGAUUUAUGCAAGGACUGCAGAGUUUGGAUUUGAUGGGAGAGGAUUUCUUGUCCAAAUGCAGUCAGACUGUGAUAUGCAAAUCUUCUACUCUAUUCACAGAAUCACAGAAUCACAGAAAUCGGAAGAGACCUCAAGAGAUCCCUGAGUCCAACCCCUACUAAAGCAGGUUCCCUACAAUAGGUCACACAGGAGAAUUCAUCUAAACCAUGAACAAACCAAUCCAUAGUGUAGCUCCGGGGCAUCUUUUCACUUCUCUCUUUGUGGACUGAAAUUAUGGAGAGGAUAAAACAAAAACAAAAGCAAACAAAGACAAACAAACAAAAACAAUCUGAAGAAGAGCUUUUGUAAAUAUAUGAUUUAUGGAAAAAAUGCAUGAUACAGAAUGUCAGCUCUUCUGGAGAUCCUUUUCCUUUUGGCACUCUGCAUUCAAAGGAGCACCCAAGAUUCCCAGUAUAAUCUGUGGUAUGCAUGUAUGUCUAUUUGCAUUGUCAUAGCUGCUCUCAGUGGGAUUUUUAGCACUGAAUGAAGUGGCAGUAAAGGUGCAUUGCCAAUGCCCACAUUCAAACAUCCUUUCAUUAAUGCAACCUUACAAUGAUUUUAGCUCUGUCCAUGUUCCUAAGAAUUUAUUGAAAAUUACACCUUGUCUAUCUUUCCAUGAAGAUGAUGGUUGA